GGAUUGUAGCUCAGUGGUACAGCGCCUGCCUCACACAUGUGAGGCAUUGGGUUCGAUCCUCAGCACCA
rnacentral:tRNA from 1 species